AGCUCGAGCCGAUGUUCACCGGAUUCAAACAGAUAACUUCUUUGAUGAUUUUAUCGACUUGAGUCAACCCGAAUUGGAAUUCCUGGGGGAAGUUGAAACUCAGAACCGCGUGGUCCAGAAAAACCCGGCCAUCUUCACCGGACCUCUGAGCGUCGCUGCUCCGCCC